rnacentral:rRNA from 1 species
CUACGGGGGGCACCAGUGAGGAAUAUUGCACAAUGGGGGGAACCCUGAUGCAGCAACGCCGCGUGGAGGAUGACGCACUUCGGUGUGUAAACUCCUUUUAUAUGUCAAGAAAAUGACGGUAGCAUAUGAAUAAGCACCGGCUAACUCCGUGCCAGCAGCCGCGGUAAUACGGAGGGUGCAAGCGUUACUCGGAAUCACUGGGCGUAAAGGACGCGUAGGCGGGUUGGAAAGUCAGGUGUGAAAUCCUACAGCUUAACUGUAGAACUGCACUUGAAACUUCUAAUCUAGAGUAUGGGAGGGGGAGAUGGAAUUAGUGGUGUAGGGGUAAAAUCCGUAGAUAUCACUAGGAAUACCUAAAGCGAAGGCGAUCUCCUGGAACAUUACUGACGCUAAGGCGUGAAGGCGUGGGGAGCAAACAGGAUUAGAUACCCCGGUAGUC